rnacentral:rRNA from 1 species
CUACGGGUUGCACCAGUGGGGAAUAUUGCACAAUGGAGGAAACUCUGAUGCAGCAACGCCGCGUGGAGGAUGACACAUUUCGGUGCGUAAACUCCUUUUAUGUGAGAAGAUAAUGACGGUAUCACAUGAAUAAGCACCGGCUAACUCCGUGCCAGCAGCCGCGGUAAUACGGAGGGUGCAAGCGUUACUCGGAAUCACUGGGCGUAAAGCGCGCGCAGGCGGCUUAAUAAGUUGGAUGUGAAAUCCUAUGGCUUAACCAUAGAACUGCAUCCCAAACUGUUAAGCUAGAGUCUGGGAGGGGAAGAUGGAAUUAGUGGUGUAGGGGUAAAAUCCGUAGAGAUAACUAGGAAUACCAAAAGCGAAGGCGAUCUUCUGGAACAGUACUGACGCUGAGGCGCGAAAGCGUGGGGAGCAAACAGGAUUAGAUACCCGUGUAGUC